GCUAUUUAUACUUUGAGUUACUCUUCAAAAGUGGUAUACCUCUAGUUUGGAGCUGUGCUGUAAAAACAAGAGUAACAUUCUUAUAUUAAAGUUAAAUAAAGUUACAACUUUGAAGAGAGUUUCUGCAAGACAUGACACAAAGCUGCUAGCAGAAAAUCAAAACACUGAUUAAAAGAAGCACGGUAUGAUGACCAAACAUAAAAAGUGUUUUAUAAUUGUUGGUGUUUUAAUAACAACUAAUAUUAUUACUCUGAUAGUUAAACUAACUCGAGAUUCUCAGAGUUUAUGCCCAUAUGAUUGGAUUGGUUUCCAAAACAAAUGCUAUUAUUUCUCUAAAGAAGAAGGAGAUUGGAAUUCAAGUAAAUACAACUGUUCCACUCAACAUGCCGACCUAACUAUAAUUGACAACAUAGAAGAAAUGGUAAGUAAUUUAAUAUACAUUCUUUGUGAAUUUCUUGAGUCGGAGCAUUAGAAAUAUUCAAACACCAUUAUAAUCUUGAAGUCUUUUCACUCAUGCCUAUCUAUGCAGAAAAUUGAAGAUGUUCAGAAUAUGCCAUGUGACAUAAAGGUGAAACACCUAGUGAUGCUUUGUUUGAAGAACAUAAGACUAACAUCAAGUAGUAGACUUAAUACCUAUCUUUAUAUUUUAAAGAGCGUACACAGAAGAGCUUGAUAAUGUUUGAAAACGUUUUAAGAGCCAGUACUCCACCAAGAAAGGAGAAUUGUCUGAGGAAGGAGGGGAUUCUGCAUUCUACUUCCUGAGAGAAACUUUGCUCUGACUUCUCCAUUUUGUUUUGCUGCCUGUCUCUGAGGUCCUGUGGCAGCUUCCAUUAGAACACUCUCUACCAGUAAUGCAAUAGAGAGGAAAAUCAAAAUUUCCUCCUAGACCGGAGUGUCAGUUUUCAGUGAGCAGAUACCAUGUCUUCUGUGAAAUUUUAUCCUUAGCAUUAUGCACAAAGCAGGUACAAAUGAAAAGUCUAACGGAUCCUUGUU
rnacentral:sRNA from 1 species